rnacentral:rRNA from 1 species
GCAGCCGCGGUAAUACGUAGGUGGCAAGCGUUGUCCGGAAUUACUGGGUGUAAAGGGAGAGUAGGCGGGAUUGCAAGUCCGUUGUUAAAUCUAUCGGCUCAACCGGUAGCUGCGGCGGAAACUGUAGUUCUUGAGUGAAGUAGAGGCAGGCGGAAUUCCUAGUGUAGCGGUGAAAUGCGUAGAUAUUAGGAGGAACACCAGUGGCGAAGGCGGCCUGCUGGGCUUUAACUGACGCUGAGGCUCGAAAGUGUGGGGAGCAAACAGGAUUAGAUACCCC